CAGCCGCCGCGGUAAUACGUAGGGUGCGAGCGUUAAUCGGAAUUACUGGGCGUAAAGCGUGCGCAGGCGGUCUUGUAAGACAGGCGUGAAAUCCCCGGGCUCAACCUGGGAAUGGCGCUUGUGACUGCAAAGCUAGAGUGCGGCAGAGGGGGAUGGAAUUCCGCGUGUAGCAGUGAAAUGCGUAGAUAUGCGGAGGAACACCGAUGGCGAAGGCAAUCCCCUGGGCCUGCACUGACGCUCAUGCACGAAAGCGUGGGGAGCAAACAGGAUUAGAUACCCCUGUAGUCCCUGUCUCUUAUAU
rnacentral:rRNA from 1 species